ensembl:miRNA
UAGGGUGUCCAAGCCCUGCUGGUUUGCCUGGGACUGAGGAGUUUCUCAGGCUAAAGCCAGGAAAGUUCAGGGCAAACCAGGGUGAGCUG